AGUUAAAUAUUACAACAGGAAGUAUACUCGACGGCUAGAAGAUAAACUAAAGUUACAGCAAUAUGAAAGAUAGAAGUGUUAAAGGGGUGAAGAAACCCGUAGAGAUACUUCAUUUGAAACCUUGAAACUGAUGUUAGAAGAAAGUGCUAAAGUCGGUACAAGAACCGACGACGGGAAAUCCUAGAAAGAGGGUUUGAUAACGGUUGGUAGACACCAACACUGAUGAUGACAAAGUCUCCUUAGCUUCAAAUAAAGUUUAUGUAUCUGAUAGGAGUGGAGGAUGAGCUCGUACUGAGUUCCCAAAGGACCUUUGUCGAAGAUGAAAGUUAAUAGCUGGCAAGAAAAUGUGAGUGAUUCCAGAACAGUAGGUAAUAGCUGUAAAAAAAUGCCUCAUUUGCUUAAAUUUUACUGUGGUACUCAUGAGCAAUAGAGCAGAGACUAUCAAAUCUCUACUGACCUGUGAAGGCUGAAGAAAUCGUGGAUCAAAACUAAGUACAUCAUCACGACUUUGGCUAGGUGAACCCUGUAGACUUAAUCUAGAUGACAGAUCGUAGACCAGCAAGAUGCUUGGGAGAAGGAUCAAUGACCCGAGUUCAUAAUCAUCCGGCAAAGAUAAAAUCUUACUGUGCCAUGAUUUUUUAGUGGCCUUGGGUAGAAGACAUCGCAAACCCAUAAAUGGGUCAAGCCCAACCAAAAGCAUUUGUCAGGGAGUCUAGAAUCUGUGUCGGAAUGGUGGGGCUCAGCGAUGCGAUGCGACGCGACGGAAGAGUAACGGCUGUCGGAAGGGGAGAGAGCAGAGGGAAGACGUCGGAGGGCCGUGCCGACGUAGCGGAGAGACGAUCUCUUGUCCAAAAAUAACUUGAAACGAAGGCAACGACAUAGACGCCGGUAGAUCUUGCCACUGAAGCAUCGAAUCGAGGAGGUGAGGAGGAGCAGAUCCGGUGAGUUUUUCCUCGAUCUCAGCAGCUACGGUGUUUCUACACAUAUCGAGAGGGAUCACGGCAAUGAAAGGCUGAGUAGAGGAAGCGAAAAUUAAAGGGUGAGCAAGAGAGGCAGCGGCGGAGGGGUGAGCAGUCUGGUUGCUUGCUUGAUUAAAAAAAAAAAUUUAAUUAAAUCAUGUGGUUGGGAGAGAUUUCUUCAAAGGAAAAAAUUACUGAGCUGCUUAGUGGAUGAUUAUGAACCAGGAAGCCAGCUGACUUAUUCUCACCAAGACUUGUGUAAACUGAAGAAACUCAACUUAGCCAUCAGAUAAUUAGUCACCACUUUCUUCUCUCCUAUCGUGAGAAACAAAAGAAAAAAAAAACAGAGAGCAUUUUUAGAGAAUUCAAGAGAGAAAGAAGAGAAAAAUCAGUGGAGAAAAAUCAAGAGAGUUUUGGGUGUUGUUUUCUUCAACCAGGCUGUGUUGUUGUUGAUGUGUGGAAGAAGAAAGAUUGUGAGCUUAGCUUGAAAGGAGUGUUCAGCCAAGAUCAAGCCUUCUAGUUGUUUUGGUAAGCUGCAGUGAAGUGGUUUGGAUGUGGUGAUCAGAGAACCUUAUUAACUGUCAUGAACCUUGUGUGAACAUUUGAGAACUAGAUAGAGUUGUGUUUUAUUGAAACAUAAACUAAGAUAGCUCAAUGAGCUUUAUUGAAAUAUAAAGAACAGAAAGUGAAAGACUU